GGAAAUGUGCCUGAACAUAAGGAUCACUAUGAUAAAGUGGACAUAGAGGUACACAACCCUCUCAUUUCCU
rnacentral:tRNA from 1 species